AGUGAACGCUGGCGGUAGGCCUAACACAUGCAAGUCGAACGGCAGCACAGUAAGAGCUUGCUCUUACGGGUGGCGAGUGGCGGACGGGUGAGGAAUACAUCGGAAUCUACUUUUUCGUGGGGGAUAACGUAGGGAAACUUACGCUAAUACCGCAUACGACCUACGGGUGAAAGCAGGGGAUCUUCGGACCUUGCGCGACUGAAUGAGCCGAUGUCGGAUUAGCUAGUUGGCGGGGUAAAGGCCCACCAAGGCGACGAUCCGUAGCUGGACUGAGAGGAUGAGCAGCCACACUGGAACUGAGACACGGUCCAGACUCCUACGGGAGGCAGCAGUGGGGAAUAGUGGACAAUGGGCGCAAGCCUGAUCCAGCCAUACCGCGUGGGUGAAGAAGGCCUUCGGGUUGUAAAGCCCUUUUGUUGGGAAAGAAAAGCAGCAGGUUAAUACCCCGCUGUUCUGACGGUACCCAAAGAAUAAGCACCGGCUAACUUCGUG
rnacentral:rRNA from 1 species